ACCCCAAACCCCAGAACGCCCCAAAAAUCCCCAAAAUCCCCCAGAAAUCCCCAAAACCCCCCAGACCCCGCAGGCCCCGCAGCGCCAGGCUCCCCCGGGCCGGUUUUGGGGUCCCCCAUGGAGUUUGUGACGCUGGGGGGGCCGGAGGGGCCCCCCCCGUUCCCGGACGAGGCCGGGCCCUUCCUGGGGCUGGGGGCGCCCGAGGGGCUGGAGCCGGGGGGGCUGCUGGGACCCUUCCCCCCCGCGCCAGGCCGGCUGUCCCUGGUGCCCUGGGCUGAGGGGGGUCCCUGGGGGGUCCCUCCUGGCCCCCUCCCCCCCCGGAGCCCCCCCGGUUCCUGGAGCUGCUGCAGCCCCCCCGGAGCCCCCCCCCCGCGGGACCCCCCCUGCUGCCCCCCCCGGGAGCCCCGAGCUGCGGUGAGAGACUGGGGGGGACUGGGAUAAACUGGG